GUGCCAGCCGCCGCGGUAAUACGUAGGUGGCAAGCGUUGUCCGGAUUUAUUGGGCGUAAAGCGAGCGCAGGCGGUUUCUUAAGUCUGAUGUGAAAGCCUUCGGCUCAACCGAAGAAGUGCAUCGGAAACUGGGAAACUUGAGUGCGGAAGAGGACAGUGGAACUCCAUGUGUAGCGGUGAAAUGCGUAGAUAUAUGGAAGAACACCAGUGGCGAAGGCGGCUGUCUGGUCUGUAACUGACGCUGAGGCUCGAAAGCAUGGGUAGCAAACAGGAUUAGAUACCCUGGUAGUCCAUGCCGUAAACGAUGAGUGCUAGGUGUUGGAGGGUUUCCGCCCUUCAGUGCCGCAGCUAACGCAUUAAGCACUCCGCCUGGGGAGUACGACCGCAAGGUUGAAACUCAAAGGAAUUGACGGGGGCCCGCACAAGCGGUGGAGCAUGUGGUUUAAUUCGAAGCAACGCGAAGAACCUUACCAGGUCUUGACAUCCUUUGACCACUCUAGAGAUAGAGCUUUCCCUUCGGGGACAAAGUGUCAGGUGGUGCAUGGUUGUCGUCAGCUCGUGUCGUGAGAUGUUGGGUUAAGUCCCGCAACGAGCGCAACCCUUAUUACUAGUUGCCAGCAUUUAGUUGGGCACUCUAGUGAGACUGCCGGUGACAAACCGGAGGAAGGUGGGGACGACGUCAAAUCAUCAUGCCCCUUAUGACCUGGGCUACACACGUGCUACAAUGGAUGGUACAACGAGUUGCGAGACCGCGAGGUUUAGCUAAUCUCUUAAAACCAUUCUCAGUUCGGAUUGUAGGCUGCAACUCGCCUACAUGAAGCCGGAAUCGCUAGUAAUCGCGGAUCAGCAUGCCGCGGUGAAUACGUUCCCGGGCCUUGCACACACCGCCCGU
rnacentral:rRNA from 1 species